rnacentral:misc_RNA from 1 species
GAUGAAGAACGUAGCGAAAUGCGAUACGUAGUGUGAAUUGCAGAAUUCAGUGAAUCAUCGAAUCUUUGAACGCACAUUGCACCUCUCGGUAUUCCGGGAGGUAUGCCUGUUCGAGCGUCAUUUGUACCCUCAAGCUCUGCUUGGUGUUGGGUGUUUGUUCCGCCUCUGUGUGUGAACUCGCCUCAAAACAAUUGGCAGCCGGCGUACUUGUUUCGGAGCGCAGCACAUUUUGCGAUCCAGAUCAACGUACAGCGGCAUCCAAGAAGCCUUAUUUAACGCUCUUGACCUCGGAUCAGGUAGGGAUACCCGCUUAUCUUAAGCAUAUCAAUAAGCGGAGGA